rnacentral:rRNA from 1 species
GUCGUACAGGUCUCCGUAGGUGAACCUGCGGAGGGAUCAUUACACAAAUAUGAAGGCGGGCUGGAACCUCUCGGGGUUACAGCCUUGCUGAAUUAUUCACCCUUGUCUUUUGCGUACUUCUUGUUUCCUUGGUGGGUUCGCCCACCACUAGGACAAACAUAAACCUUUUGUAAUUGCAAUCAGCGUCAGUAACAAAUUAAUAAUUACAACUUUCAACAACGGAUCUCUUGGUUCUGGCAUCGAUGAAGAACGCAGCGAAAUGCGAUAAGUAGUGUGAAUCGCAGAAUUCAGUGAAUCAUCGAAUCUUUGAACGCACAUUGCGCCCUUUGGUAUUCCAAAGGGCAUGCCUGUUCGAGCGUCAUUUGUACCCUCAAGCUUUGCUUGGUGUUGGGCGUCUUGUCUCUAGCUUUGCUGGAGACUCGCCUUAAAGUAAUUGGCAGCCGGCCUACUGGUUUCGGAGCGCAGCACAAGUCGCACUCUCUAUCAGCAAAGGUCUAGCAUCCAUUAAGCCUUUUUUUCAACUUUUGACCUCGGAUCAGGUAGGGAUACCCGCUGAACUUAAGCAUAUC